rnacentral:rRNA from 1 species
CCCUUAGAUGUUCUGGGCUGCACGCGCGCUACACUGAAGCGUUCAACGAGUAUUCACCUUGCCCGGGAGGGUUGGGUAAUCUUUUGAAAACGCUUCGUGAUGGGGAUAGAUUAUUGCAAUUAUUAAUCUUCAACGAGGAAUUCCUAGUAAGCGCGAGUCAUCAGCUCGUGCUGAUUACGUCCCUGCCCUUUGUACACACCGCCCGUCGCUCCUACCGAUUGAAUGGUCCGGUGAAGCGUUCGGACCGUGGCCUUUGGACGGUUCGCCGUCUGUUGGCUGCGGGAAGUUCGUUAAACCUUAUCAUUUAGAGGAAGGAGAAGUCGUAGCA